rnacentral:rRNA from 1 species
CUGAAAGCAUCUAAGCGCGAAGCCAACUUCAAGAUAAGAUUUCCCACCGCAAGGGUAAGACUCCAGAAAGACUAUCUGGUUGAUAGGUCGAAGGUGUAAGUGCAGCAAUGUAUUUAGCUUAUCGAUACUAAUAGGUCGAGGACUUGACCAAUAUUUAUU